AGCAGCCGCGGUAAUUCCAGCUCCAAUAGCGUAUAUUAAAGUUGUUGCAGUUAAAAAGCUCGUAGUUGAAUUUUGGAUUCUGCCAAUUGGUCCAUCUUUUAGAUGAGUACUGGUUGUGUGGGGUCUAUCCGCCUGGUGAUACGUAAUGUCCUUUAUUGGAUGUUGCGGGUAGUCAGGACCUUUACCUUGAAAAAAUUAGAGUGUUUAAAGCAGGCUUAUGCCGGAAUACAUUAGCAUGGAAUAAUAGAAUAGGACGAAGUUGUUUUAUUUUGUUGGUUUUAUUUUGUUGGUUUCUAGGACAACCGUAAUGAUUAAUAGGGAUAGUUGGGGGCAUUAGUAUUCAAUUGUCAGAGGUGAAAUUCUUGGAUUUAUUGAAGACUAACUACUGCGAAAGCAUUUGCCAAGGAUGUUUUCAUUAAUCAAGAACGAAAGUUAGGGGAUCGAAGACGAUCAGAUACCGUCGUAGUCUUAACCAUAAACUAUGCCGACUAGGGAUCGGGCGAUGUUGUUUCCAUGACUCGCUCGGCACCUUAUG
rnacentral:rRNA from 1 species